rnacentral:rRNA from 1 species
CGCCUGUUUAUCAAAAACAUCUUUUCUUGUUAGUUUUUGAAGUAUGGCCUGCCCGCUGNCUUUGGUGUUNAAGGGCCGCGGUAUUUUGACACGUGCAAAGGUAGCAUAGUCAUUAGUUCUUUAAUUGUGAUCUGGUAUGAAUGGCUUGACGAGGCAUGGGCUGUCUUAAUUUUGAAUUGUUUAUUGAAUUUGGUCUUUGAGUUAAAAUUCUUAGAUGUUUUUAUGGGACGAGAAGACCCUAUAGAGUUUAACAUUUAUUAUGGUCCUUUUUCUGUUUGUGAGGGUUCACUAGGCCGUCUAAUAUGUUUUGUUGGGGUGAUGGGAGGGAUUAAUUUAACCCCUCCUUUUUAUUAUUAUAUUUAUUUAUAUUUGCUUGAUCCAUUUAUUUUGAUUGUAAGAUUAAAUUACCUUAGGGAUAACAGCGUAA